rnacentral:misc_RNA from 1 species
ACAACCCUCAAGCUUCGGUUUGAUGUUAGGCGUGGCCCCUCCGGCCCGCCUUAACGUGGUGUCGGGUCUUCGGUUGCCAACGGAGCAAGUGAUAACUUUGUGUUUCUUGUCUUUCUGUCGGUUCGAACCGUGGGACCCGUGGAAAAAACUCCCCUGAC